rnacentral:rRNA from 1 species
GAUGAACGCUGGCGGCGUGCCUAAUACAUGCAAGUCGAGCGAACAGACGAGGAGCUUGCUCCUCUGACGUUAGCGGCGGACGGGUGAGUAACACGUGGAUAACCUACCUAUAAGACUGGGAUAACUUCGGGAAACCGGAGCUAAUACCGGAUAACAUGUUGAACCGCAUGGUUCAACAGUGAAAGACGGUCUUGCUGUCACUUAUAGAUGGAUCCGCGCCGCAUUAGCUAGUUGGUAAGGUAACGGCUUACCAAGGCAACGAUGCGUAGCCGACCUGAGAGGGUGAUCGGCCACACUGGAACUGGGACACGGUCCAGACUCCUACGAGAGGCAGCAGUAGGGAAUCUUCCGCAAUGGGCGAAAGCCUGACGGAGCAACGCCGCGUGAGUGAAGAAGGUCUUCGGAUCGUAAAACUCUGUUAUUAGGGAAGAACAAAUGUGUAAGUAACUAUGCACGUCUUGACGGUACCUAAUCAGAAAGCCACGGCUAACUACGUG